UGAGAGCAGGAAGUCAGCCUGAGUACUAACUCACCAGGGAGGGCUCCGCCCAGAUGGGGAAAAGGAAAACAAAAGUAUUUCUCUCCCCUCACUUGGACUGCUCUGAGAUACUGUCCCUUCUUUCUUUCCCGGAAUGUGGUGGAAUGAGUUCAUGUGCCUGACAAGGCUAGAAGACCGUGUGGGAGUCCUGGAGUUGGACUCAGAGCCAGUGAUAUUUCUGUCUGGAUGUACCAUUGUUAAAAUCAAGCUGUCUUCAUGGAAAUUGACCCCCAUGUGUCCCACAGUGACUCAAGGAAACAUUUAAAUCAUCUUGUUCUGGCCUGAUGAUUUUCACAGUAAACUCAGACAAGGGAUAUCACCUAAUUGCCUGUAGCUUCCUGACACACUGAAGGAUGGUUUCUCAUGCUCUUUUUUCCCCCAUGUAGAAAGCCCCUUCCUACACUUUGUUAGAACUCUCCUCCUCUAUGACCCAACUCAGUGAAGACGAUUCCAUGACACAGUUUUUAGUUUGAAACCCAGAAAUUGCCAUCCCACCCCUUAGCUCCAGCAUCAUUUCCUGCAGACUCCUCUCCCCCACAGUAGUAGCUGCAGCUAGGAUGUGAAGGUGUAGUAUUGCACUGGCCAUGGGCUCACACCUGUACUCUACACGGCUUCAGAUGCAGCUCAGCCAAUACUCAAUGAGAAAACUUUUUUUGUUUCAUUGUGAGGAUGAAACAUGGAAAGAUCAUCUGAGAGAUUUGACAGAAAGAUCCAUGUACACUAUGUCAAAAGAAAUAGAUUCAGCUACCAAGGAAACCUUCUGAUUUUCCCAAUUCAGAGGGCUGAUAUAAAUGAAGAACAAAGACCUUAUUUCAAAAUUAUUUCUCUUCUUUUACUUUUAUUUUUGGGUGGAUGGAGUUGAGGCAGGCCUCACUCUGUAACCUGUCCUGGAACUCACUACAGAGUCUAAGCCAUCCUUGAUGUCGGAGCAAUCCCCCUGCCUCAGCAUCCCCAAGAGCUGGGAUUACACGUCUGACCCAUGAUACUCAGCUGUUGAAGAACAAGCGUGAGACAACGACCUGGAAGAAGAACUGCAGAACAAUCCUGUGACACAGGCAUCCACACGGGUGCAUUGUUUUCAGAUAUGUAAUCAUAUAUUAUUUUUAUCACUGGUAGUACAUUUCAAUUAUAUUUAAAUUUAUUUUAAAUUGUAUCUAUUCUAUGCUACUAUAUUUUCUGCAACUAGGUAAUGGUAAAGGUCACAGGCUUUUCUGCUGCCAUCCGAAGGAUGCAAAUUAAGAAGAUUAAGCUGUAAUACAAGCCAGCCAAGCUUUCUGCAGAGAACCAAGACCAUGCCUACCAGUUACCUUUGAAGUCUCCCAAAGAGGAUGGCCCCCACAAUGACAAUUCCACCAGGACUGUGAUAACACCAUUAAGCUGAAAAACGCCACCUGGAGAUCGGCUUUGGACUACAAACUGCUCAGGAUCAUUUUGACACGGCCAACUGAGAUGAUCCAGCUUAAAAGACUGCUCUAGCCACAACUUCAAAUAAAGCCUGUACUUUCCGUUUAUAGAGAGACUGAACAACAAAUGAUACGGCUUCCUUUCCCAGGAUUUGAAAAUUAACCCUAUUUUUUAUUCAGGAUUCUCUAAAGAUGCCAUUGCCCUCACACAGCAGGAAGCAAACUGUAGAACACAUCGCCCACAUUCGUAAGAGGUGGGGUGGGGUGUGUCAUUUUUUUCACUGGGUUAUGGAUAUUUGUCAUAGUUUAGUGUGGGUGAUAAGAAGUUGUUAUUGGUGAUGGUCAGCAAAAAAGUU